rnacentral:rRNA from 1 species
UAACCUGCCCAAGAGAUCGGGAUAACACCUGGAAACAGAUGCUAAUACCGGAUAACAACAGAUGAUGCCUAUCAACUGUUUAAAAGAUGGUUCUGCUAUCACUCUUUGAUUGACCUGCGGUGCAUUAGCUAGUUGGUAGGGUAACGGCCUACCAAGGCGAUGAUGCAUAGCCGAGUUGAGAGACUGAUCGGCCACAUUGGGACUGAGACACGGCCCAAACUCCUACGGGAGGCAGCAGAU